rnacentral:rRNA from 1 species
AUUGAACGCUGGCGGCAUGCCUUACACAUGCAAGUCGAACGGCAGCACGGGAGCAAUCCUGGUGGCGAGUGGCGAACGGGUGAGUAAUAUAUCGGAACGUGCCCAGUCGUGGGGAUAACGUAGCGAAAGCUACGCUAAUACCGCAUACGAUCUAUGGAUGAAAGCGGGGGAUCGCAAGACCUCGCGCGAUUGGAGCGGCCGAUAUCAGAUUAGGUAGUUGGUGAGGUAAAGGCUCACCAAGCCGACGAUCUGUAGCUGGUCUGAGAGGACGACCAGCCACACUGGGACUGAGACACGGCCCAGACUCCUACGGGAGGCAGCAGUGGGGAAUUUUGGACAAUGGGCGCAAGCCUGAUCCAGCAAUGCCGCGUGCAGGAUGAAGGCCUCGGUUGGUU